GUGGGGAAUAUUGGACAAUGGGCGAAAGCCUGAUCCAGCCAUGCCGCGUGUGUGAAGAAGGUCUUCGGAUUGUAAAGCACUUUAAGUUGGGAGGAAGGGCAUUAACCUAAUACGUUAGUGUUUUGACGUUACCGACAGAAUAAGCACCGGCUAACUUCGUGCCAGCAGCCGCGGUAAUACGAAGGGUGCAAGCGUUAAUCGGAAUUACUGGGCGUAAAGCGCGCGUAGGUGGUUUUGUAAGUUGGAGGUGAAAUCCCCGGGCUCAACCUGGGAACUGCCUCCAAAACUGCAUGACUAGAGUACGGUAGAGGGUAGUGGAAAUUCCUGUGUAGCGGUGAAAUGCGUAGAUAUAGGAAGGAACACCAGUGGCGAAGGCGACUACCUGGACUGAUACUGACACUGAGGUGCGAAAGCGUGGGGAGCAAACAGGAUUAGAUACCCGGGUAGUCC
rnacentral:rRNA from 1 species